rnacentral:misc_RNA from 1 species
AAGAUUUGAAAGGUAACAUUAGAGUUUACUGUAGGAUAAGGCCAUUCCUUCCUGGUCAAAGCCAAAAAUUGACAACCAUAGAGUACAUUGGUGAGAAUGGUGAACUGGUUGUUACUAAUCCUUCAAAACUGGGGAAAGAUAGUCACCGUCUUUUCAAAUUCAACAAGGUCUUUGCACCUGCUGUUACUCAAGAGGAGGUGUUUCGAGACACUCAGCCAUUAAUCAGGUCUGUUUUGGAUGGGUACAAUGUUUGCAUCUUUGCUUAUGGUCAGACUGGUU